rnacentral:rRNA from 1 species
CACGUAGGGCGCGAGCGUUGUCCGGAAUUAUUGGGCGUAAAGAGCUCGUAGGCGGCCUGUUGCGUCCGCUGUGAAAGCCCGGGGCUUAACCCCGGGUCGCAGUGGAUACGGGCAGGCUAGAGGUAGGUAGGGGAGAAUGGAAUUCCCGGUGUAGCGGUGAAAUGCGCAGAUAUCGGGAGGAACACCGGUGGCGAAGGCGGGUCUCUGGGCCGAUACUGACACUGAGGAGCGAAAGCGUGGGGAGCGAACAGG